rnacentral:piRNA from 1 species
UACAGAACAUUUUGGGAGAUGUUCCAUAGU